UUUCGAGCAAACAUGGCUACAGAAAGGCAUGCUGGCAAGAUAUACACCAGAGAAAUGUUCGAGCAAUUUGGUCAUAUUAUAUACGAAUGUGGUGCCUACCAAGUAGAAGAGGUGGAAAAGGGUAAAACUUAUGUUGCAAUCCAUACAGAUGCAGCACAGAGAGAGAAGUGGUGCAGGAUUUCAUACAAGGUUACUGUGUUGGACGGUGGAGAGGAGUUUGACUGCGAAUGCGGACAAUUCACUCACAUGGGAUUGUUGUGCAGCCAUAUUCUUAAGGUCCUAGACUUCAUCCGCGUAACAGAAAUACCGAAGAGACACAUAGUGAAGAGGUGGACAAGAGAUGCCCUGGACAUCCUGCCUCCACACCUGAGCCAAUAC
rnacentral:rRNA from 1 species